GGGCUUGUAGUUUAAUGGAUAGAAUAACAGGUUUCGGCCCUGUUGAUUCGGGUUCGAAUCCCGGCAAGCCCU
rnacentral:tRNA from 1 species